UUUCUUCUCUCAUACAUGUUUUCUUCUAUUGCUAUUCCAGGGCUCUGUAUGACACAUCUGAUGUUCUUUCAACAAUUUAGUUAACUUCAUUUUGCAAGUAACUGGGGGGAGCUUGCAGCAGUACAAUAAAAGAACUGAAAAACCCUGCUUUAAUUCUCUCCUCUUCCUCAAUCCUGACAGCUCAUGCACACCAUUGUUUGAGAGAAGAAAAAUUAUAUAUAUAAAGUUUCUUCUAAAAUUGCUUACACACACACACACGAUAUACUUGUUACUGGAUAAUUUGUAUAAACAGAAUUUUAUUUCAUUUCCUAGUGAUUUUAAAUAUCAUCUUCUUAUAAGUAGGUCUUCCUUCCCCAUUAAUCUAGGUUUCUCCUGUAAGAUAUUUUGCCCAUUGCCAUUUUAAACCCUUGUGACAAUUAAUCACAGGAGUCUGAGAAGUCUUCUGAGCCAUCCUCUGCCACUAAGCAAGGUGGCAGCUGGGCCAUCCCAGAUGCCUGGUGUGUGAUUUAAAAUUGUUUCUGUAAGUUCUCCAAUACUCCUCCCACCAAGAGGGAGAGUCUAUUUCCCCAUCCUCUGUACGUAGUGGGGCUUUGUGACUGCCUUGAUGAACACAAUGAAGCAAAGGUGAUACCACAUGCCUUCCCAGGGCAGAAAAGAUCAUGCAGUUUCUGCAGGUUUCUCUUGGAGGCUUUUGGCUCCCAUGUAGAAAUGCCAGCUCCCUUGAGGAGGCCCCAUGGAGAGACCUCAUGGUGAGAGACGGGAGCACCUGAGCAGCUGUCCCAGCCCCAGCCAGGCACUAGACACGAGAGUAAACAAUCCUCCAAUAUGACCCCGGCCCUGGGCACUAUUUGAUGGAAAGCACACAAGAGACUCCAAGUGAGAGCCACCUAGCUGAGCCCAGUUGACCUUAAGAUUUGUGAGCAAAAUAAAUUAUUUUAACUGCUUUAUGCCACUGUUUUUGUUCCUUGAGUUUUUUUUUUAAUCCAUAGAUAACUGAAACCCUUAGGAAUUUAUCUUCUGCAUCUGAUAUCUCAACAACAAAAGGAAAGAGUAUUUACAGCAUACCAAAUGUGGCCAUCAAGUCUGUUUUCUACAUGGGCAAUAACAUACAACCAUAGCUUUUCUAAUUUCAAGAUUAUUGCUCUUCAAUUGGAAGGGAUGCUAGGACUCUUGGUAUCUAACUUGUUCACUUUACAGAUGAGAAGGCUGAGGCCCAACAAAGUGAAAUGGCUUAUCCUGGCCACACAGAUACAUAGGGUUAGGGACAAGGAGGGACCCAGGCCAACUCAUUGCCCAGCUAAUCCAACUGAUGUUUCAAACUCAGUGUUCUUUUUAUAUUCACUGUGACUUCAGUAUUCUAAUGUGCUUCAUCCUCUGAACUUCAAUGAUUUCUUUUAUUUUAAAGAUCAAAUAUAAACUCCUAAUCACUUGGAACAUGGUUUCCCUUAAUCAGAAAUAAAUACGCAUCAUUGACUUCAGGGUGAGCUGGGUGACUAAUUUUAAGAGGCAACCCAUGCCUGUGGCCUUGCUUCUUUAGGAAACCAAGGAGUUUGGGGUGCAACUCUUUGCUGUUUUCCUUCCUACAGGCUGCCACAUUUCAAAUGUUCCCUCUUACCAAGUUCUGCUGGAGACACGUCUCGUAUCACAGGGCUGCAGGACGGAAGGUUCAGCUAUUAUCAUUAAUUGCUUCAAGCAAGCACAUAUCCCACAAGCCAGAGGCAAGAGAAGGGUGAGCUGGAAGCCGCUUGCUGCAGAUCUGCUCUGGACACCCUCUCCUGUAGUUGCCCCCACUGUGCCAUAGGUGCUGCCAGCUGCAAACUCCUUUAGUAGUAAUGCUUGAUUACUUCUGCUUCUGGUGAGCUCAGCACCUGAUCAAAAGGCUCCUGGCUUCAGCAGUCCUCGGAGAAGAAAAAAGGAUGACCUUGCAGAGUCAGGCUUUCCAGGGCCGUUCCAUUCUGGUCUGACCUCCACUCUAGGCACUAGUUCAAACCCUGCUUCUGAGAUGAACCCAAGAAAAUAAGAUCAGGAUUUUGCAUUGAGCUGACACAAUGGACGCUGCCCCUGCUGUCCGUCACCUGGCUUCCUCCCCCAACCCCCCGACAACGAGGCUCUCCUUCCAUAGCCACUGGAGUGUUGGCAGCUGAGGGUACAUGGCUGAGCUUGCCUCCAGGAAUGGCCCUGGGAUGAAGAGAGCUGCCUUGCUCAAGGUUACACCCCCUUCCUGGGAAACCUGUAUCCAAGGACUGGUUUGUGUGGGGUUAAAAGUACUGCAGGUGACUUAAAAGAGCUUGCUUGACUCAGUUUGGGAGGACUGUGAAGGGCCAUCCCAGCUUCAGAGUUCCCCAUAGAACUCCUUGGCUAAGGCCUUGGUGUGACUGCAACUUCUCCCCCUGCCUAACCCUGCCUUCCUUACUCUCCUAAAGGUGUUGAUUUUGGGAGCAAUUCUGGGACCAAAACCUCCUAUAUGCAAAUUUCCAGUUCUAGUCUGCUUCCUGGGAACCAGGUCUGCAGCAGAUGGUAUGCAAUCAAUGCUUAUGGUGAGAGGAUGGUUAUUCCUUUUUGUCUUACUCUCCUGGAUUCCUUCCAUCUCAUUCAGCACCCCUUCAAAGAUUCACCCCCUUUACCCUAGGCUUCCUUGAUGUACCCCUUCCUAGUUCUGGUUGCCCUAAUCAUAAAUGCCACGCUAACAGAUGGUAUGCAAGGCUUUUAUUCUUGCCAUUGUGUAUUUUCUCACAUCUUUCCAUUAGCCUGGAAACUCCUUAUGAAUAGGCAAUUUCAAAUUUAAUUUUAAAAUAUUCCUUCUCACCCAGUCAUAUAUAGUGAUGGUUGGUGGCACUUAAUCCUACUGGCUAAACACGCUUGACAAAUUCCUUAUUGCUGCCCCACCUUCCUCUCUUACUAUUUAAUUCAGUCAGCACACACUGGCUGUCCUGUCUGAGCUAGAAACUGUGCUAUGGGGACACACAAAGAAAUGUUCUCUCCCUACCAUCCAGGGACUGGUAAAGGGGGUGAGCCCAGGCUGGACUGCCAAGGUUCAAACCUCCCUCUCCCACUCAGUGAUCCGGAGCAAGUUAUUUAAGUUCUCCAAGCCUUAGUUUCCUUAUCUUUAAAAUGGGAAUAAUAAGAGUAUUAUUAUUAUAAUCCUAUUAUCAUCCACCUCAUAGGAUUUAUUAUUUAUUAAUUUUUUUAUUGUGAGGAUUAAAGGAGGUACACUGUAAGCAUUAUUUAAGUCUGCAUUGUCCACUAUAGUAGCCACUAGCCACAUGCAGCUACUGAGCACUCUAAAUGUAGUUACAUGCUGUGAGUAUAAAAUGCAUACUGAAUUUCCUCCGCCACUUUUAGAAAUUUGUAUAUAUUCAUGGGGUACAAGUACAAUUUACUAUUAAAUACAUUGAUACAUUACAUCGUGGUAAAGUCAGGGCCUUCAGCAUAUCCACCAAUGAAGUAAUGCGCAUGGUACCCACUAAGCAACCUUCCAUCAUCCAACCCCCUCUCACUCCCCAACCCCUGCAAAUCUCCAUCAUCCAUCAUUCCAUACUCUUUGUCCAUGUAUACCUAGUAUUUGGCUCCCACUUGUGAGAACGUGUUAUUUGUCGUUCUGUGUCUGAGUUGUUUCACUUAAGAUAAUGGCCUCUAGUUCCAUCCAUGUUGCUGCAAAAGACAUG